rnacentral:rRNA from 1 species
AUUGAACGCUGGCGGCAGGCCUAACACAUGCAAGUCGAGCGGUAGAGAGGUGCUUGCAUCUCUUGAGAGCGGCGGACGGGUGAGUAAUGCCUAGGAAUCUGCCUAGUGGUGGGGGAUAACGUUCGGAAACGGACGCUAAUACCGCAUACGUCCUACGGGAGAAAGCGGGGGGAUCUUCGGACCUCGCGCCAUUAGAUGAGCCUAGGUCGGAUUAGCUAGUUGGUGAGGUAAUGGCUCACCAAGGCGACGAUCCGUAACUGGUCUGAGAGGAUGAUCAGUCACACUGGAACUGAGACACGGUCCAGACUCCUACGGGAGGCAGCAGUGGGGAAUAUUGGACAAUGGGCGAAAGCCUGAUCCAGCCAUGCCGCGUGUGUGAAGAAGGUCUUCGGAUUGUAAAGCACUUUAAGUUGGGAGGAAGGGUAGUAACCUAAUACGUUGCUACUUUGACGUUACCGACAGAAUAAGCACGGCUAACUUCGUGCCAGCA